rnacentral:rRNA from 1 species
GAGUAACACGUAUCCAACCUGCCGUCUACUCUUGGACAGCCUUCUGAAAGGAAGAUUAAUACAAGAUGGCAUCAUGAGUCCACAUGUUCACAUGAUUAAAGGUAUUCCGGUAGACGAUGGGGAUGCGUUCCAUUAGAUAGUAGGCGGGGUAACGGCCCACCUAGUCUUCGAUGGAUAGGGGUUCUGAGAGGAAGGUCCCCCACAUUGGAACUGAGACACGGUCCAAACUCCUACGGGAGGCAGCAGUGAGGAAUAUUGGUCAAUGGGCGAGAGCCUGAACCAGCCAAGUAGCGUGAAGGAUGACUGCCCUAUGGGUUGUAAACUUCUUUUAUAAAGGAAUAAAAUCGGGUAUGCAUACCCGUUUGCAUGUACUUUAUGAAUAAGGAUCGGCUAACUCCGUGCCAGCAGCCGCGGUAAUACGGAGGAUCCGAGCGUUAUCCGGAUUUAUUGGGUUUAAAGGGAGCGUAGAUGGAUGUUUAAGUCAGUUGUGAAAGUUUGCGGCUCAACCGUAAAAUUGCAGUUGAUACUGGAUAUCUUGAGUGCAGUUGAGGCAGGCGGAAUUCGUGGUGUAGCGGUGAAAUGCUUAGAUAUCACGAAGAACUCCGAUUGCGAAGGCAGCCUGCUAAGCUGCAACUGACAUUGAGGCUCGAAAGUGUGGGUAUCAAACAGGAUUAGAUACCCUGGUAGUCCACACGGUAAACGAUGAAUACUCGCUGUUUGCGAUAUACUGCAAGCGGCCAAG